rnacentral:tRNA from 1 species
ACUUAAAUAGUUUAAUAAAAAUAUUAAUUUGUGGAAUUAAUGAUGAAAAAUUUUUCUUUAAGUA